rnacentral:rRNA from 1 species
GAUGAACGCUGGCGGCGUGCCUAAUACAUGCAAGUCGAGCGAACAGACGAGGAGCUUGCUCCUCUGACGUUAGCGGCGGACGGGUGAGUAACACGUGGAUAACCUACCUUUAAGACUGGGAUAACUUCGGGAAACCGGAGCUAAUACCGCAUAAUAUCUUUAACCACAAGGUUUAAGAGUGAAAGACGCAUUUGCUUCACCUUAUAAAUAGCUCCGCGCCGCAUUAGCUAGUUGGUAAGGAAACGGCUUACAAAGGCGACGAAGCGUAGCCGACCUGAGAGGGUGAUCGCCCACACUGGAACUGAGACACGGUCCAGACUCCUACGGGAGGCAGCAGAAGGGAAUCUUCCGCAAUGGGCGAAAGCCUGACGGAGCAACGCCGCGUGAGGGAUGAAGGUCUUCGGAUCGUAAAACUCUGUUAUUAGGGAAGAACAAAUGUGUAAGUAAAUAUGCACGUCUUGACGGUACCUAAUCAGAAAGCCACGGCUAACUACGUG